GAUGAAGAACGUAGCGAAAUGCGAUAAGUAAUGUGAAUUGCAGAAUUUAGUGAAUCAUCGAAUCUUUGAACGCAUAUUGCGCCCGCCAGCACUCUGGCGGGCAUGCCUGUUCGAGCGUCAUUUCAACCCUCAGGCCUCGCGUCUGGCGUUGGGGCGCUGCGGCCCUCCCGCAGGCCCCCAAAUCUAGCGGCGGAUCCGCCGCGGCCCUGAGCGCAGUAGAGAGUAAAAACUUUAACGCUCCGGCGGCCGUGGCGCGGUUCUGCCUCUCCCCCAAUAGCGCCAAUAGCGCCACCCCCAAAAAGUUGACCUCGGAUCAGGUAAGACUACCCGCUGAACUUAAGCAUAUCAAUAAGCGGAGGA
rnacentral:misc_RNA from 1 species